UGGGGAAUAUUGCACAAUGGAGGGAACUCUGAUGCAGCGACGCCGCGUGAACGAAGAAGGCUUUCGAGUCGUAAAGUUCUUUUAUAUGGGAAGAUAAUGACGGUACCAUAAGAAAAAGCCCCGGCUAACUACGUGCCAGCAGCCGCGGUAAUACGUAGGGGGCUAGCGUUGUCCGGAAUCACUGGGCGUAAAGGGUUCGCAGGCGGAAAUGCAAGUCAGGUGUAAAAGGCAGUAGCUUAACUACUGUAAGCAUUUGAAACUGCAUAUCUUGAGAAGAGUAGAGGUAAGUGGAAUUUUUAGUGUAGCGAUGAAAUGCGUAGAUAUUAGGAGGAAUACCGGUGGCGAAGGCGACUUUCUGGACUUUUACUGACGCUCAGGUACGAAAGCGUGGGGAGCAAACAGG
rnacentral:rRNA from 1 species